rnacentral:rRNA from 1 species
CAGCCCUUGACAUGUCCAGGACCGGUCGCAGAGAUGUGACCUUCUCUUCGGAGCCUGGAACACAGGUGCUGCAUGGCUGUCGUCAGCUCGUGUCGUGAGAUGUUGGGUUAAGUCCCGCAACGAGCGCAACCCCCGUCCUUAGUUGCUACCAUUUAGUUGAGCACUCUAAGGAGACUGCCGGUGAUAAGCCGCGAGGAAGGUGGGGAUGACGUCAAGUCCUCAUGGCCCUUACGGGCUGGGCUACACACGUGCUACAAUGGCGGUGACAAUGGGACGCUAAGGGGCAACCCUUCGCAAAUCUCAAAAAGCCGUCUCAGUUCGGAUUGGGCUCUGCAACUCGAGCCCAUGAAGUUGGAAUCGCUAGUAAUCGUGGAUCAGCACGCCACGGUGAAUACGUUCCC